GACGAACGCUGGCGGCGUGCUUAACACAUGCAAGUCGAACGGACUUCACCUUGGAGUUUACUUCGGGGAGAAGUUAGUGGCGGACGGGUGAGUAACACGUGGAUAAUCUGCCUGACACACCGGGACAACACUGUGAAAACGGUGCUAAUACCGGAUACGCUUAUCGGUCUGCAUGGAAUGAUAAGGAAAGGGGUAACCCGGUGACAGAUGAGUCCGCGGCUGAUUAGCUAGUUGGUGGGGUAACGGCCCACCAAGGCGACGAUCAGUAGCCGGCCUGAGAGGGUGAACGGCCACACUGGGACUGAGACACGGCCCAGACUCCUACGGGAGGCAGCAGUGGGGAAUCUUCCGCAAUGGGCGAAAGCCUGACGGAGCAACGCCGCGUGAGUGAAGAAGGCCUUCGGGUUGUAAAGCUCUGUCUUUGGGGACGAAGAAAGUGACGGUACCCAAGGAGGAAGCCACGGCUAACUACGUG
rnacentral:rRNA from 1 species